GAACUACGUGGCUCAGUGGUCUAGAGGUAACGUACUUCCCGGUCCCGGGUUCGAUUCCCGGUCGAGGAACU